rnacentral:rRNA from 1 species
UACGUAGGGGCCAGGCGUUGUCCGGAUUUAUUGGGCGUAAAGAGCUCGUAGGCGGUUCGGCAAGUCGAAUGUGAAAUCUCCACGCUCAACGUGGAGGGGUCAUUCGAUACUGCCGUGACUCGAGUCCGGUAGGGGAGUGUGGAAUUCCCGGUGUAGCGGUGAAAUGCGCAGAGAUCGGGAGGAACACCCGUAGCGAAGGCGGCACUCUGGGCCGGUACUGAC